AUUUUAUUUUAUUUUUUUUGAAUCUAUUGAUGAUUAAGUAGCAAGCGAUAAUUUUGAAUUUUUAUCUCUAAACUCUUUCUUCCACCUUCAGAGAGGGGAUGGUUUUGGAUAAUUUAUUUAUUUAUUUUUAUCAAAAAUUGCCUUCUUCAUAUUAUUUUUCUCUCUGUUUAAUACUAAGUAAGUGAUUUUCACAUAAAUCUAAAAAAAAAAAUCUUCGUGAUUUUAUUGUCUUAGUGGAGUGUUGUGGUGUAUAUCGUCUUGUGCGACGUUAUUUGAAUUCUUGUUUUGUUCAGGUGAUCAUUUAGUUUCUAUUGAAAGUUCAGCUAUUCAAUUAAUGAUUUGGGCGUCAAUCUUGCAGAUUUGAGGACAUGAGUAUUCCGUUCACUUUAAUUAUUUUAGUUUAUCCUUAGGCAUCUUAUUGUUGUAUGCUACUAGUUUGAAUGUUGUGAGUUUUUUUUCCAGAUUCAUCCUUUACCUUUUUUACGAUAUUAAACAUGUACUUUUUCAAUUUGAAUAAAUGGACAUCAUUUUGUUUUUGUAUAAAAAAAUAAUAGAAAGCCGUAAAUAUUCACCAAAAUAAGUUAGAAAGUGAUAUACCCCUAGAAAAAAAAAGUAGAAAGCGAUAAAGGUGGCCAUAUCGAUACUAUAAUAUAAAAAAAACUACCCUUUCAGCUCUUUUAGGAUAGAUUUUUCUUUCAAAAAAUGCCCUCAAUUUUGAAUACAAAUAACACAUGUAACAAAUAGAUAAGAAUAAUAUUAAAUAUUUAAAAAAUGUAACAAACACGAUAUCCUAAAAAUGCUCUUUUAGGAUAUAUAUAUAUAUAUAUAUAUAUAUAUAUAUAUAUGUUUUUUUUUCUUUAUCGUUUAAAAAGUGUAACAAACUAGAUGAGUAUAUUUAUACUUACUUUUUCAUUAUCUUAGUUACACCCUUAAACAAUUUUUUCUAUAAUAAAAAUCGUUGUUGGUUUCAUUAAAAAAAAUUAGAUUAUUUUUUUGUUUGUUAUAUUGUUGGUGUCAUUGAAAUAAUAUAAGGAUGAAUGGGUUUUAAAUAUAAUGUAAGGAUCGAUUUUAUAGUUAGUCAAAUAAUUAGGGUUUGAAUUUUUUUAAAUUGGGGAAGAACGUUACCACUAAUUAUUGGAAGAAAUUUUGGAGAUUUUGGAGCGUACAUUAAAGAUUGUAAAAUUAGGGUUCUAAUUUUAUAUAAUCUGGGAAGAAAGAACUGUUGGAGAAGAAAGAAAUAGUCGUUGGGGGAGGAAAGAACAUUUUCUGCAAAUCAAUCAAAUUCGUCCUUGGAAAUUUUGGUCACUAUCGGUCAAAUUAGUCUCUGCUUAUGUGACAUCUGACAUGUGAGAGGUUAACGGUCACGUCAGCACCGUUAACACUCCAAUUGAGAGGAGGGAUUAAAUUGACAUUUUACAAAUUCAAGGACUAUUUUGAUAUUUCGUUAAAUUAAGGGAUAAAUUUGGCUGAUUUAUGCAAAUUCAAAGACGAAGUUGAUGAUUCAUCCUUUUUUUUUUUCUUUCAACACGAAUAAAAUAAAGUUGGAAUUUAUUUUUAUGCACAUAUUGCAUAAAUUUUUCUACACACCCAAAAAAAUCACGUAGAUAUUUGUGAAAUUAAUGUUUUAUGAAUUAAAAUAAAAGAUGUAUUGUCUUAUAAAUGCAACUCAGUUGGUAAGUUCAAUGGAC
rnacentral:lncRNA from 1 species